rnacentral:tRNA from 1 species
GUUUGGACUAGCGGUCAAGCGAGGGGCUGUCAUUCCUUAGGUCGUCAGUUCGAAUCCAUCUG